UUUUCUUCUCACCAACGACUGGCCUUUACUCUUUCUUUCCUUCAAAAUAACACUCAUUUAUUAGAAGCUUUUAUCUCUUGCAACUCAAAGAUGGUGAAACCUUGUGCAAGACAAAGAAUUAGCAGAGGACUUACUAUGUUCAAGACCCAUAGUUCCUAGUACUGUCAGUGUAGUUAGAGGUCACCAUUGUACGGCCUAUAUAAAGGUGGUGUGGACUACCGACCAACUUUACCCCAUUCAGGAGAGGCGAAGAGGGCUUGAAUGGAUAGUGGGAGAAUUUUCCAUUGGUUCUAAGAUACCAAGAUCAUCAUAUGAGAAUCUCAGAGGUUAAUGGCAAGAGGGAUUAUUACUCUUUUAAAGUAAAUGAAAACCGGGUUGUCGGAUCCAAUCCUAGUUGUGUCACAACUGGGUUUGGAAACUAUUUGAGGCUAGCCCUUAUGAGAUAUUAUACAAACCAAGUUCUAUAUAUAUAUAUAACUUGGUUUGAAGUUUGAAGCUAUGUCUGGAAAUUUAAAAUUUGUUUAUUUUGUCUUGCUAAGUUACUUAUUUACCCUCUUAGAACUAUAUGGUGUUCACUUACUGAGUAAUUAAGUUACUCACUUGUCCAUUCUUUCUUCCUAGGUUGAGUCAUGGGUGAGGCUAGAUGUAGUGUUAGCCAGUUGUGUCAUCAUCUAGACCUAUUCCUAAGUCUGUUUUGCACAAAGUUUGUUAUAUUUUUGCAUAUUGUAAAUAUUAUCUCCGUUGUAUAG